rnacentral:rRNA from 1 species
GAUUAACGCUAGCGGCAGGCCUAAUACAUGCAAGUCGAACGGCAGCACGGGUAGUAAUACCUGGUGGCGAGUGGCGCACGGGUGAGUAACACGUAUGCAAUCUACCUUUAACUGGGGAAUAACCCUUCGAAAGAAGGGCUAAUACCGCAUAACACUGCGAUGGGGAUUCCCAAUGCAGUUAAACCUGAGGGGGUUAAAGAUGGGCAUGCGUCCGAUUAGUUAGUUGGCGAGGUAAUGGCNCACCAAGACUUCGAUCGUAGGGGGUCUGAGAGGAUG